rnacentral:rRNA from 1 species
GGAUGGGCAUGCGUAUCAUUAGCUAGUUGGUGGGGUAACGGCCUACCAAGGCUGCGAUGAUUAGGGGUUCUGAGAGGAUAACCCCCCACACUGGAACUGAGACACGGUCCAGACUCCUACGGGAGGCAGCAGUAGGGAAUAUUGGGCAAUGGAGGCAACUCUGACCCAGCCAUGCCGCGUGAAGGAAGACGGUCCUAUGGAUUGUAAACUUCUUUUAUCAUAGAGUAACCGCAGGGACGUGUCCCUGCCUGCAAGUAUAUGAUGAAUAAGCAUCGGCUAACUCCGUGCCAGCAGCCGCGGUAAUACGGAGGAUGCAAGCGUUAUCCGGAUUUAUUGGGUUUAAAGGGUGCGCAGGCGGACCGGUAAGUCAGGGGUGAAACUUUACAGCUUAACUGUAAACGUGCCUUUGAUACUGCCGGACUAGAGUUUAAGAGACGUAAUUGGAAUGUGAUGUGUAGCGGUGAAAUGCUUAGAUAUAUCACAGAACGCCAAUCGUGAAGACAGAUUACGAACUUAAUACUGACGCUCAUGCACGAAAGCGUGGGGAUCAAACAGGAUUAGAUACCCUGGUAGUCCACGCUGUAAACUUUGAUCACUCGUUGUUGGAUGGUAACAUUCAGUGGCCAAGGGAAACCGAUAA